rnacentral:sRNA from 1 species
AUGCACGGUUUUCGGACGUUUUUGCUGUCAAGCAGGGUGGCAAGGCAAUUUUUUUCCAAUUCUUGCGCUCAGUCAGUUUACUUACUACAAGUAAUGGGUACUAUGUACGCCGGCCAGUUUCUCUUUGCUGAGAGA